AGAGUUUGAUCAUGGCUCAGAUUGAACGCUGGCGGUAGGCUUAACACAUGCAAGUCGUGCGAGAAAGUAUCUUCGGAUAUGAGUAGAGCGGCGGACGGGUGAGUAACGCGUAGGAAUCUACCUAGUAGAAGGGGAUAGCCCGGGGAAACCCGGAUUAAUACCGUAUACCUCCUUCGGGAGAAAGAAGGCCUCUCUUUGAAGCUUUCGCUACUAGAUGAGCCUGCGUAAGAUUAGCUUGUUGGUGAGGUAAAGGCUCACCAAGGCAACGAUCUUUAGCUGGUCUGAGAGGACGAUCAGCCACAUUGGGACUGAGACACGGCCCAGACUCCUACGGGAGGCAGCAGUGGGGAAUAUUGGACAAUGGGCGAAAGCCUGAUCCAGCCAUACCGCGUGUGUGAAGAAGGCCCUAGGGUUGUAAAGCACUUUAAGUUGGGAAGAAAAGUUAUUGGUUAAUACCCAAUGACCGUGACAUUACCAUCAGAAUAAGGACCGGCUAAUUCCGUGCCAGCAGCCGCGGUAAUACGGAAGGUGCAAGCGUUAAUCGGAAUUACUGGGCGUAAAGCGCGCGUAGGUGGUUUGUUAAGUUGGAUGUGAAAGCCCUGGGCUCAACCUAGGAACUGCAUCCAAAACUAACUCACUAGAGUACGAUAGAGGGAGGUAGAAUUCACAGUGUAGCGGUGGAAUGCGUAGAUAUUGUGAAGAAUACCAAUGGCGAAGGCAGCCUCCUGGAUCUGUACUGACACUGAGGUGCGAAAGCGUGGGUAGCGAACAGGAUUAGAUACCCUGGUAGUCCACGCCGUAAACGAUGUCAACUAUCUGUUGGAAAGCAUUGCUUUUCAGUGGAGCAGCUAACGUAAUAAGUUGACCGCCUGGGGAGUACGGCCGCAAGGCUA
rnacentral:rRNA from 1 species